AUGGCCCUCUGCUCGGAUGAGGCUUUUCAGGAACUAUUACAAAGAAUCCACGACAUGGAAAUGAAAAUACGACGCCUUGAGGAGAACGCCAAAAGUAAUAAAAAUCUGCCGGUGGCUUACGGCAAGCAACCACCGGGCGGAUCAAUACCAUCAGCACAGAGUGGGACCCCUCCGAGUGGAGGGCGUUUGUCGGGAGGGACUCCCCAUUCAUCAGACCUCUGGCCCCCACUUAGACGGGAGACUCCAAAGAAGACAAAGGAACAUCGAAAGACACUCCAACAAGAAACAACUUCGAUUAUUCCCCUAAAAAUUAGAUUUGCGCCUCUUAGCUCAUCACCGUCCAGCCUGCAAAGACUGUCAGCUGCAGAGCGAGGUCACCGAAAUGUAAAUAAAGAUAAAACAAGCUGCACGAAAUGGGUAAAGAGAACAGAGAACAGCAAGCGAGGGAGAGCACUUGCUAUUAUUCAUGACGGAUCAAUCAAAGGAAUUGAACAGCUAUGCAUCAACACUAGUGUCUUUAAUUGUCCACAAAUGACAGUAAAAGAAAUUUCUGAGAGGAUUCCAUCAAUUAUUGAGAAUAACCCAGAGCUAGAAAAAGUUGUUGUCCAUGUUGGAACUGCUGACAUCCUUUUGAAAAAAUCCGAAAUUUUAAAGAAAGACUUUUUGGAUUUACUUCAGAACUUUGACAACCACAAGGUACAACUCCACGUAUCUGGACUGAUUCCAGCAACACCCUACGAUGAAGAAUAUAGCAGGAUGAAAUCGUUCAGCAGGUUUGCUAAAACUGUCUGUGCUGAAAGGUCAAUUCGAUAUCUAAAUAAUUUUAAGAUUUUUUGUGGAAGGAAGCACCCGUUUACAAGAAAUGAACGUAACAUCAAUAAGAAAGGUCAGAGGCUUUAUCUUCUGAACUUGUUGUCUCAUGUGAACUCAUCGCCCUGUUCUCAAAUUGAGAUAAAGACAUCAGUAUCAGCCGAGACACAAAGCGGACGCCAACCAGUUGUAUCACACAGAGACCACGACGUACUUGUACCUUUCAGUGAUAAGCCUGCCAGAGACGUAUCAACCGACCCAAAAACAACAGCACCCGACAAGUUUCGAAAGAAACAGAGUUUCAGCAACGCUGUGCAGAAACACAUCAGUGGACAUAGCUCAAACAGCUGA
rnacentral:lncRNA from 1 species